rnacentral:rRNA from 1 species
CACGCCGUAAACGAUGAUCACUCGCUGUUGGCGAUACACAGUCAGCGGCUAAGCGAAAGCGCUAAGUGAUCCACCUGGGAAGUACGAUCGCAAGGUUGAAACUCAAAGGAAUUGACGGGGGCCCGCACAAGCGGUGGAGCAUGUGGUUUAAUUCGAUGAUACGCGAGGAACCUUACCAGGGCUUGAAAGGCAGAUGACAGACCAGGAGACUGGUUUUUCUUCGGACAUCUGUCUAGGUGC